rnacentral:lncRNA from 1 species
AAUUAAAAUCAAAUAUUUUAACUUUCUAGUUAGUAGGGGCCUAAAUGCAAAUAAGAAAAAGUUAGGGGUCAAACCGUAAAUACUCAAAAGUAUAAAAUAUCUUUUUCCAAAUUACAAAAGACCCCCCAAGUGGAUAAAUCCACUAGGGUGGCCGGCCACAUUAAGGGAGAUGGGAAGUCUCACCCAUCUUGCUUUAAUUCAAUGCAAAGUAGAAAAAUCCAAAUUUACUUGUCACUUGGUUUUGGCAUUAAAACUAAGGUGAAAAGGAUUGAUGGAAAUUUCCUAGUCAAGUCUAGGAUUUAAUAAAUUUUUUGGGAAGGCUAUGGAUGAUAAGUAUGUCAUCCAAAACCAUAAAACAAUUUAUGAAAACCAAAUAAAACCAUUUUCACCAAAACAAACCAUGAACACCAAGAACAAAACCAUGAACAUAUUUUCAAGAUUUGUGUAUUCUUGGUGAUUUUUCAAACCCAAAAACUAAAGUGACAAGGACUCUACUUUCUAGCUUUAAAAUGAUGUGUGAGUGUCUUACAAUAAAACACAAACACAUGCCCAAAAACCCCCUUAAUGCCGUGCCUACCACAAGGAACAAAACCCCAAAUUUUGUUCAUAACUUACUCUUCAUUCAUGCAUCUAAAACACCUUUUUACAUGCAUAUCUUUUUCAACUCUUGAUUUAUAUUUUUCAACCAUUGAAAAACAAAAGAUAAACAUACUUUAAAUGAAGAAAUAAUAUGUCAAACUAGUUCAAAAACUCAAUUUUCAUUCAUGCAUACAAAACAUCUUUUGCAUACAUAUCUUUCUCAACUAUUGACUAACAUUUUUCAACUAUUGAAAAACAAAAGAUAAACUUAUUUUGAAUGAAGCAAUAAUUAUGUCAUACAUAAUAUUAAUACCCUUAUGCAUAAAAUCCAAAAGGACACAUUAUACAUAAACCUUUGGCUCUGAUACCACUUGAAGGGAAAAUUAUGAGUUUAACACAUGGGAUUUCUAAAUGACUAGCAUGCAUAUACAAUUCAAAAUUUAUAU